UACGUAGGGUGCAAGCGUUAGUCGGAAUUACUGGGCGUAAAGCGUGCGCAGGCGGUUGUGCAAGACAGAUGUGAAAUCCCCGGGCUUAACCUGGGAACUGCAUUUGUGACUGCAUAGCUGGAGUGCGGCAGAGGGGGAUGGAAUUCCGCGUGUAGCAGUGAAAUGCGUAGAUAUGCGGAGGAACACCGAUGGCGAAGGCAGCCCCCUGGGCUGACACUGACGCUCAGGCACGAAAGCGUGGGGAGCAAACAGG
rnacentral:rRNA from 1 species